AAAAAUAGAGAGAGAAAGGAGAAAGUAGAAGAAGUUUGGAUUUGGGAGAGAGGAAGAGCAGAGAUGACAAACCGCCGUUGGAGAUCGAAUCCAAGGCAAGAAACUUCGAAGCAAUACUUCUCUCGGUGCUGGAAAAGAAGUUUGGGUGGUGGAUCCACUCAUUCUGGCAAGAAAAUCCGAGAACGGACAAAGAGGAGAGAGGAGGCAUCGCCGCCACGCAUCGGCCGGCGUAUGGAGGAGCUCGACAGGACCAACGAGCGAUGCAUGGCGACCGCGGGCUGGAGAAGCGCAUCAGGCGCGCGCAACCGGGUUGGCCUGAGUUUGAACCAUGUGAACUGAACCGAACCGGCCGCUGGCCCGCGAUUGCGCGGGAAGUUGCACGUGGACACGCGCGCAUAGUACACCCUCCAAAGCGCGUCAGUCGUGCGUGUAAGCGCGACCUAUCAAGAAAAUUCCAGAAUUUUUGGAACCUUUUCCGGCAAAUAGUUCGAGCAUGGGAAGACACACGUCAACCAAGUAAGUAGCCAUUUAGAUUUUCACGAGCAAUACUUGUAAGAACCGCUUGGAAUAAGCAUGCAUGCUAUCAUACCCAUAAACUUAGUUAGCCGUACCUAGCAAAUUAGUAUGUAAACCAUGAAAAUGAAAUAAAUAACGAAGUCUAUGACUUCUAGAUAUGAAUGAUUAUGUAAUUUGUUUAGAUUGAGAUUAUGAUAAUGUAUGUAUGCACGAGGAGGAUGGGAAACUUGUGAAAGCUGCACUCCGAGUGAAGAUGGAUGUUAUUUUCCCACUGAGCAUGUUUGUUAAUAUUGCAUGAACUGCUACGUGUUAACUCCUAUGCAUGAUGUUUGCUUGCGUUAUCUUUCUUGAUGAAUAGGAAGAAAUUGUGAGCUUAGAUUAGAGUGCUUGUGACUAAGUAGGCUAGACGAGACCCUAGGUUGGGGGAUCUCUAGAAUACCAUGCAUUUAGACCUGCGAAAUGAUUAUCGGUGGAUCUAGAGCUCAGAAUUCCAAACAUGAUAGGUUUGUGAUACCUUGCACGAGAAUCCUAGAGAUGCAUGAAUCCAAGUCUAAGCCACCAAGUUCCACCCCUAGAUAGAAUAGUAGGUCACCACAGUAACUGUAAGUAGCCCGCUAGAGUUGAGCAGUGUGGAUAGUGUCAUCAGAACCUCCACUUUCCUCUCUGCUCCGAUACCGUACCGUCGAGACAGAGCUCCGGUACAGAGAUCAUUGAGCUUGGCAGAUCCGGAUAGGGAAGUGUGACAGGUGCCCAGACCUAGUGGUGAUAGCUAAGGAGUCUUCUAAACAGGACUCCUAGGCCAUAAAAACCGUCCCUGAGCGGGAGAUGUGGAGCCACGUAGGAUGACUUAGUAGCUGACCGGCACACAGAGGGCACCCCGAAUUUAGUGGAUGUAUGGUCCCGUGUGAGGGUUGUCAGCUAACCUCCACGGAUGAUGUUCAGAGAGAGUCACGUAUUCAGAUUCAGCCAUACGAUCCCCUCAGAUUUACUUAUGAGGUCGUGCCUCACCUCAAGACAUUGAUCCUUCCACUGCAUAAGAUGGGCAAGCCUUCUAAGAUACAAGAAAGAGAGUUUUAGUAUGAUUCGCACUCACUAGAACCCAGAGAUUAGACCGUGUAUACCUACUCAAAUAAGGAUGCGAAAAGAGACUACAAGUAGGUUGCUUACUGAGUAUAUUUAUAUACUCACUUCUUUCUCCUCUUUUUUUUUCAAGUACCAGUCAAUACGGGGAGGUGUUUGAGAGCUGCACUGUCACAGAGGGGUGUCGUUACGGAGCGUCAGUCCCUUGUCGGUCUUUCAGAGUCCUUCGUCCGUUUUCAUAUUUGGAGUCUUCUGUAUUUUAUUUUAUAUUUGUAAUUCCCAUUUGUUGCAUUUGACUUUCAUUUUAUAUUUAAUUUUG